ensembl:misc_RNA Metazoa_SRP Metazoan signal recognition particle RNA
GCCAGGCACGGUGGUGCGUGCCUGUAGUCCCAGCUACUUGGGAGACUAAGGUGGGAGGAUCACUUGAGCCCAGGAGUUCUGGGCUGUAGUGCACUAUGCAGAUUGGGUGUCCACACUAAGUUCGGCAUCAGUAUGGUGACCUCCUGGGAGCUGGGGACCACCAGGUUGCCUAAGGAGGGGUGAACCAGCCCAAGUCAGAAACGGAGCAUGUCAAAACUCCCGUGCUGAUCAAUAGUGCAGUCGCACCUGUGAAUAGCCACUGCAGUCCAGCCUGGGCAACAUAGCGAGACCCCAUCUCUU